AACCUGCCUGCGAUAAGAUUUUUAACCUACAUUGGGAGGACUGAGUUUAAUUUCUACUUCCGACCAAAACUUGUAUAAGCCAUAUAUGUAUAAAUCAUACAAAGAUAGGACAUCCACGAAUUGAUUCGCAUAUGUGGACCAUUCAAAAUGCGUUCAAUCCUUAAAAUCGUCGGUUUGGUUAUUUCCCUGCUGACUCCCUCGGUCCGGUGCGACUUCAUCUGUAUUUGCAACUACGAUAUAGAAAAGCCAGUGUAUGGACAGAUGUCGGCUGGGUCAGCUCCGAUCGGCUACCUCUACGAAUUUGAUUGCAAACCUGAAGGCUUAGAGACUGGUAACACAGUAUGGCUGUCAAUCCAGUACGAAUGAAAU